rnacentral:lncRNA from 1 species
UUGUGAAUUAUUGUGUUGGAACCUAGCCUUAAUAUUUCAUUUGGGUGUUAUAUUAAGGAUUAAAUCAACUUACUUGAAUUUAUCCCUUGUAGAUGUCUAAUUUUGACAACUAUGGUAUGGUCUUCCUUAUCUUUUUGGAAAAAGCUUUCCUCGUGAAGAUGAUAUUCCACAUGGCGAUCAAGGUGAAAGAUCAAUCUCUUUGCCGUGCAUUGAUGGGACUGGAAAUCAUACUUCACUUCCUCCACCUCCUCCAAUUAUUCUCCCCGACCCACGGGUUCGUCAACUUCGAUGAUAUUCCACAUGGCGAUCAAGGUGAAAGAUCAAUCUCUUUGCCGUGCAUUGAUGGGACUGGAAAUCAUACUUCACUUCCUCCACCUCCUCCAAUUAUUCUCCCCGACCCACGGGUUCGUCAACUUCAAAAG